rnacentral:rRNA from 1 species
UACAGAGGGUGCGAGCGUUAAUCGGAAUUACUGGGCGUAAAGCGCGCGUAGGCGGCUUUGCAAGUCGGGUGUGAAAUCCCCAGGCUUAACCUGGGAACUGCAUUCGAGACUGCAUUGCUAGAGUAUGGGAGAGGGAAGUGGAAUUUCCGGUGUAGCGGUGGAAUGCGCAGAUAUCAGGAAGAACACCAACGGCGAAGGCAGCUCGCUGGGACGGAACUGACGCUAAGGCGCGAAAGCGUGGGGAGCGAACAGG